AUUGAACGCUGGCGGCAGGCCUAACACAUGCAAGUCGAACGAGUGGCGGACGGGUGAGUAAUGUCUGAGAAACUGCCUGAUGGAGGGGUAUAACUACUGGAACCGGUAGCUACUACCGCAUACACUCAGUUGUGCCCAGAUGGGAUUAGCUAGUUGGUGUGGUAACGGCUCAAAAAGGCGACGAUCCCUAGCAGGUCUGAGAGGCUGACCAGCCACACUGGAACUGAGACACGGUCCAGACUCCUACGUGAGGCAGCAGUGGGGAAUAUUGCACAAUGGGCGCAAGCCUGAUGCAGCCAUGCCGCGUGUAUGAAGAAGGCCUUCGGGUUGUAAAGUACUUUCAGCGGGGAGGCGUUACCCGCAGAAGAAGCACCGGCUAACUCCGUGCCAGCAGCCGCGGUAAUAC
rnacentral:rRNA from 1 species